rnacentral:misc_RNA from 1 species
CAAAUGCUGGAACAUUCGCAGCUGCAAUUUGGAUUUCAUCACCAGUUUUUGGGUUACGGCCAGUGCGAGCUGCACGGUGAUUUACUUUAAAUGUACCAAAACCGAUAAGUUGAACUUGAUCACCCUCUUUAAGUGCAUCAGUUACA